rnacentral:rRNA from 1 species
UGCUGGAGGUAUCAGAAGUGCGAAUGCUGACAUAAGUAACGAUAAAGCGGGUGAAAAGCCCGCUCGCCGGAAGACCAAGGGUUCCUGUCCAACGUUAAUCGGGGCAGGGUGAGUCGACCCCUAAGGCGAGGCCGAAAGGCGUAGUCGAUGGGAAACAGGUUAAUAUUCCUGUACUUGGUGUUACUGCGAAGGGGGGACGGAGAAGGCUAUGUUAGCCGGGCGACGGUUGUCCCGGUUUAAGCAUGUAGGCUGGUUGUCCAGGCAAAUCCGGAUAAUCAAGGCUGAGGUGUGAUGACGAGGCACUACGGUGCUGAAGUAACAAAUGCCCUGCUUCCAGGAAAAGCCUCUAAGCAUCAGGUAACAUCAAAUCGUACCCCAAACCGACACAGGUGGUCAGGUAGAGAAUACCAAGGCGCUUGAGAGAACUCGGGUGAAGGAACUAGGCAAAAUGGUGCCGUAACUUCGGGAGAAGGCACGCUGGUGUGUAGGUGAAGUCCCUGCGGAUGGAGCUGAGACCAGUCGAAGAUACCAGCUGGCUGCAACUGUUUAUUAAAAACACAGCACUGUGCAAACACGAAAGUGGACGUAUACGGUGUGACGCCUGCCCGGUGCCGGAAGGUUAAUUGAUGGGGUUAUCCGUAAGGAGAAGCUCUUGAUCGAAGCCCCGGUAAACGGCGGCCGUAACUAUAACGGUCCUAAGGUAGCGAAAUUCCUUGUCGGGUAAGUUCCGACCUGCACGAAUGGCGUAAUGAUGGCCAGGCUGUCUCCACCCGAGACUCAGUGAAAUUGAACUCGCUGUGAAGAUGCAGUGUACCCGCGGCAAGACGGAAAGACCCCGUGAACCUUUACUAUAGCUUGACACUGAACAUUGAGCCUUGAUGUGUAGGAUAGGUGGGAGGCUUUGAAGCGUGGACGCCAGUCUGCGUGGAGCCAACCUUGAAAUACCACCCUUUAAUGUUUGAUGUUCUAACGUUGGCCCCUUACCGGGGUUGCGGACAGUGUCUGGUGGGUAGUUUGACUGGGGCGGUCUCCUCCCAAAGCGUAACGGAGGAGCACGAAGGUUAGCUAAUCCUGGUCGGACAUCAGGAGGUUAGUGCAAUGGCAUAAGCUAGCUUGACUGCGAGCGUGACGGCGCGAGCAGGUGCGAAAGCAGGUCAUAGUGAUCCGGUGGUUCUGAAUGGAAGGGCCAUCGCUCAACGGAUAAAAGGUACUCCGGGGAUAACAGGCUGAUACCGCCCAAGAGUUCAUAUCGACGGCGGUGUUUGGCACCUCGAUGUCGGCUCAUCACAUCCUGGGGCUGAAGUAGGUCCCAAGGGUAUGGCUGUUCGCCAUUUAAAGUGGUACGCGAGCUGGGUUUAGAACGUCGUGAGACAGUUCGGUCCCUAUCUGCCGUGGGCGCUGGAGAAUUGAGGGGGGCUGCUCCUAGUACGAGAGGACCGGAGUGGACGCAUCACUGGUGUUCGGGUUGUCAUGCCAAUGGCACUGCCCGGUAGCUAAAUGCGGAAGAGAUAAGUGCUGAAAGCAUCUAAGCACGAAACUUGCCCCGAGAUGAGUUCUCCCUGAGACUUUAAGUCUCCUGAAGGAACGUUAAAGACGAUGACGUUGAUAGGCCGGGUGUGUAAGCGCAGCGAUGCGUUGAGCUAACCGGUACUAAUGAACCGUGAGGCUUAACCUUACAACGCCGAAG